ensembl:lncRNA
AUGACCUCUCCCCUCUUGCUCUCUUUAUUCUUCUGUAUUUUCCAGAGGCCCAGAAGAUGCCCACCUUCUACCACUCCUGCCCAGGAGAGAUCGGAAAAGCAACCUCCAACCCAAGCCCAGUCCACCCAGCCCUCAGGGGUCUGCCGCUCUGGGGAGGGGGCAGGAGGUGAGCCACUAGGGGGAAAAGCAGCAAAACAGACUUUGCCCUGGAGUACCUCUUUGGUGUUACAUUUGUUCUCUGUUGCUACUGUAACAAAUUACCACAUAUUUAGUGACUUAAAACACACCCUCGUAUUACAGUUUUGCAGCUCAGAAAUCCAAGCACAGGAUACUCAGCCAAGACCAAGUUGUCAGUGGGGUUGUGGUGUUCCCUUCUUGAGGCUCUAGGGAUGAAUCCACUUCGAAGCACAUUCAGGUGGUUGGUUGAACCUGGCUAAAGGCUGGAGCACUGAAGCAGGUCCCUGGGUCCUGGCUGGCUAUUAGCUGGGGUCAUUCCCAGGUUCUUGAGGCCACCCACUUCCCUUGGCUCAAAGGCCUCCACCUCCAUCUCCAAAGCCAGCAACAACGGCUCAAGUCCUCCCGUUUAGAUCCUUCUGAUUCAUCCCUGCCUGCUUCAUCUUCGGCUAGAUCUAAUUCCCGCCAGAGACAUGUCUCUACUUUCAAGAGUUCACUUCUCUACUUUUAAGAGAUCAUUUUGGGCCUGCCUUAAUAAUAGGUGAUAAUCUCUCAGUACAAUCUUAACUACACAGCAGUAAGUAGAUCAGUGUUUGAUUGAAUUCCCAAGGGGUAGAAAAGCAUCUUAUUGGAAACAUAUUUUGAAUUCUGCCUACAACAGGUGCACAGCACCACAAACUCUGCUGGAAUCCCCUUCCUCAGAUCCGGACAAGAGCUUCCUUUUGACAAGGAUCUGUUAUUCUAGAGUUAGGCACUUGCACAGCUAGAAGAUCACUCAUAAAUUCCAAAAUUGAUCCAGCCUCACACAGCACAAAUCAUAUGAUUUAAGAGCUCUGUAUAAUUGAUCAAGCCAGGUAGAAAAUAGGCCCACCAUUUCCUUUCAUGUCCCAAUUUUGUUUUCCCAUCACAUCUCUCACCCUUCUUAGCAAAAAGCAUUUGUUGACUAAGUACAGUCUCCCUGAAUUCUCGUUCCAAGGACAGACUUUAAAGUGGCUAUAGCAGGAGCACCAUAUUUCAGCAUACAGACAUUGAACACCAUGUGCCAGUUAGUACACUAUUGUCUCAGCUCCAUGUCCCUCUUUCUAUGCUCUGCCAUCAAACGCUGAGACUGGGAUUCUGAAAAACUACAUUUGUCCUGCGAUGAGUGAUUCCAGGUAAGUUCUGCUAACACAGGCCCUUAGAAAGAGUCUGAGGGCAGCGCUUAUCACUAUUCCCAGCUCUGUCACCCCAUUAGUGACCCCCCCACUGCCCAGCAACAGAGCUAGCCCCAGCCCUUACCUUCUGUUGGCAGAUCCAGAACAGCCCGUGAUGCCCCCAUCAAAGGUGCUAUUGUCCCCUCCUCAGAAAGCUGGGUGCUAUUCAGCAAGGCCCUUCCUCUGCACUCCUAAGGUAACAACAGCAUCAAAGCAGGGCACCUUCCGCAGGUAUCUGAGUGGCAGCACGGAGAAGCUCUUCCUCCAUCUCCCUCAAUUCUGAUAAACCAGCAUCUUUCCUUGUUACUAGCUGCUCCCUGCUCCUACCAACUCUAGGUUACCUCAGAGCUCCUUGUUCACCACUUCAGGCCACCAACACCUGUGUAAGAAACCCCCUGGAUUAAAUGCCCCCUGUCCAAUACUAGUGUAGUAUUUCUGCCUCAACCGGUCCCUGACUGAUGCACCCAAUUUCAGACAUAUAAGAUUCAGAUGAAUAAGAAUGAGAUCCAGGGUCACAAGAUAUCCCAAUACACAGAGUUUAAUCUUUUAAGAUUUUGUCAGUAGAGAGACUGAAAUGCAAGAAGAGUUGGCUCAGUCAAGGUCACAGCAGCUAGUGACCAGCCCAGGACUGGAGUCUGAGCUUCUUGACUUUUGGCCCAGGCUUUUGCUGAUACUUCCAUAACGUGCCACAGCCUGUUCCUGAACACAGAGGCAGAAGAAGAUGAUAUUCUGAGCAAAUUCUUGGUUUCAUAUCAUGGGUCUGUUCUGUCCAAUGUUCCUCUCUGGUAGAGUGAGUAUAUAUCUAUAAAUGAACAUGGAGGUAAUAAGAAACCCAGGUUCUCUCAUUUGUCAUCCUUACUGGAGAAUUCAAGAGCUAGUUGAGUAUAGCAAAAGUUGGAAAAGGGAGAAUCUAUUAGUUCCAAGAGCCUGUCCUUGACAAAAAUUUAUCUACCCAACAUUUGUUCCCAAUGUAAUAUCCUUUACCCCCCAUUGUGAAUAAAAUCUAGCCCUGGACAUGGAAGAGAGAAGGC